AGUGACAUUACUGAGACAAAGUAGGAGUUUGUUGGUGCAGUUCUAGCUACAAAUCAACCUGCUAAGCAUUAGUCUUGCUUGCGUGUUUCAAUGUUGUUUUUUCUUUUUCUUUCUUUCUUUUUUUUUUUUUCUUUUUUUUUUUUUUUUCAGAGGACCUGGUUAAAGUAUUGUUUUUGGAAUCUACUCUUUGUGCCGUCUCAUCUCUGCAGCCCAAACCAUUUCCAAGCAGCAUCUGAGGGAAGGAGAUAGUUGAUAGGCACAGUGUCCUGGAGGAGAGGUGCUCCUGAACUGCAGCUGCUGCUCACCAGGGUAGGUGCUGAAUUAACAGACAUAGACCAAAUGUGACUGCGCUGUGCAAAGCUGUAAUUUAGAUACAGCUCUCUAUAGUAAUGACAUCUUGGAGUUGGCAAUGAAAGAAUAUUGUCCUGAUAGUUUCACUCCCUAAAUCCAGAUUUGGAUCUAAUAGCAACAGAAGCUUUGCUGUGGAAUAAGUGAGCUGUUAAAAUCACAAAUGAAUUCAUGUGUAAAAGUGCCCUUUCCUAAGGCACUUUGUUUGAUGACAAUGAUAAUACAACUUUGUAUUAUGGUGAUAAUACUUUGCAUUUCCUUGGCAUCUUUCAUCUCAGGAUUUCAAAGCGCUUCACGAACGUAAUGAAUCAUGCCUCACGACACCCUUGUGCAGGAGAUGAAUGACAAGUCUCAUUAUAAUUGCUUUGUUAUGGAGACAGAUUUUUAGCAUUUGUAUUUAAUGGAGUUACGGUAUUUUGCUUGUUGAGAAGGCAGUAUGUAAGUUUUUAGUAUAUUGGCAAGUCCAUUGAUUCUUUAGACAGUGUGUCAUUUUAAUUUAGAUUACAAGGUAUUCUUUCCUUUUUGUGAUAUGGAUCAUCAUUGAGUAGUAUGGUUAAGAAUGGGAUUAGAUUUGCUUUUCGUUCUUUCCACUUCCCAUUCCUUAAUAUUUCACAAUAUUUCCAAAAAAUGCAUUGGACAUCUUGUCUUGGACACAAGUCCUUCACCUUUAGAAAGAAGCCAUGAAUAACUGUUCUACGCACUAAAAUGAGGUUGUUGGGGGUUUUUUGGUUGUUGAUGUUUCUUGUGGUUGCUUUGUUUUGUUUUUUCAAAUCUUAGCCACCACCAGAUACACUUCUGUUUAUUUUUUUUUUUGUUUGAGCUAAUACCCCAAAUACCCACCAGCCUACUGAAAGUCUUUCCUCUAUUUUGCAUAAAACAGAGGUGAACCUGUUAUUUUUGA
rnacentral:lncRNA from 1 species